UCCCUGGCGGUCCAGUGGUUAGGAUUCGGCACUUUUACUGUUGUGGCCCCAGGUUCAAUCCCUGGUCGGGGAA
rnacentral:tRNA from 1 species